rnacentral:antisense_RNA from 1 species
GAUGCGCGCCAGUCAACCAGGCGAAGGCCAGGGGACCUCGAGACCGGCAGCCCGGACGAUGAACCGGAAGGAGGAAAAGGAACGGGAGGGAGAAAGAUGAGAUGUGCCUACUUCUCCCUGGAGACGCUCGAGGAAGCAGGAAUGCUGGAGAUGAGGGCUGUUUUGGACUCAGUAUUCACCUAAGCACUCCAAAUUGGUCGCGUGAACAUGUGGUAUAGCAGGAGGAGAGAGACCCAGCACACCCUUCCUGCACGGCGCUGUGCUGCACCUUCACUCUGGUCACGGGUCUGGCAGUCGGCUCACCAAUUCCUUCUGCUUUCCUGGGACUCGCCGGCUUUUAGCACUGCAAUUCACUCAGCAAACUGGGACUGUUGGUCACCCUACCUGGCAGCCAGUGAUAAGGGCUUGUGUCAUUGGCAUGACAGACCUGCCUUGGCUGAGCAUUCACCUGUCUUUGGAGUUCAGCCACCUUAGCAAGUCCGGGGUUUGUUCUUCAGACUUUGCUGCUCGCCCAUUGCCUGGAU